rnacentral:tmRNA from 1 species
GGGGGCGUACUGGUUUCGACGGGGAUUGCGAAGGACAGGAUAAGCGAGCCGAGGACCCAGACCUCGUUAAAACGGGGAAAUUAAAAUUAACUGACAAUAACAGUUACGCUUUCGCGGCCUAAUGGCUGCGCGUCGCCCCAAAGCGCUCACGGCUUUGGCCAGCGGCGUCAUUGAUGUGAGGAACAGGCCUGCCUAAGCUUUGCGGCAAGGCCGGUAUCAUGAAGCUACCAAACCGAUAAGCCCGUUUACAGGCGUUUCGGCGAGGGAAAUCCAAAAUGUAAACUGCGCUCGGAGAAAAUGCUGUAAUUCGGUCUUCGGACAGGGGUUCGAUUCCCCUCGCCUCCACCA